CCUACGGGGGGCUGCAGUCGAGAAUCUUCCGCAAUGGGCGAAAGCCUGACGGAGCGACGCCGCGUGGAGGAUGAAGGCCUUCGGGUUGUAAACUCCUGUCACGAGUUAAGAAAGAGCUGCCACGAACAGUGGUAGAUCCUGACGUAAGCUCGAGAGGAAGCACUGGCUAACUCUGUGCCAGCAGCCGCGGUAAUACAGAGAGUGCAAACGUUGUUCGGAAUCACUGGGCUUAAAGAGCACGUAGGCGGCGCUACAAGUGUCGGGUGAAAUCCCACGGCUCACCCGUGGAACUGCCCGGCAGACUGUGGUGCUCGAGUGUGGUAGGGGAGAGCGGAACUCCAGGUGGAGCGGUGAAAUGCGUAGAUAUCUGGAGGAACACCGGUGGCGAAGGCGGCUCUCUGGUCCACAACUGACGCUGAGGUGCGAAAGCUAGGGGAGCAAACGGGAUUAGAUACCCCAGUAGUC
rnacentral:rRNA from 1 species